CAACAGUUGUCUUGCUGUUGAUGUUCUUUUUAUGCUUGUUUGUUUUGAUAAGGUGGAAAUUUCUCUCUUCUGCAGAGUUAACAGAAGAAGCAGCAAACGAAUUCCAAUAGAUAACUUCCCUUCUGAGAGGCAGGGAGGGGAAAGAGAUGGGGAAACUGAGAUGGAGAAGUGAUUGCUUAACCUCAACGACCAGGCCAGCAGAAGAACAAAAAGCUCCUGAUUGCAGAUCAGCUUGCUGAAAUCCCGGAGAGUGACCAACAUUGUGAACCCA
rnacentral:lncRNA from 1 species